rnacentral:rRNA from 1 species
UACGUAGGGUGCAAGCGUUGUCCGGAAUUAUUGGGCGUAAAGAGCUCGUAGGCGGUUUGUCGCGUCUGCUGUGAAAACCCGAGGCUCAACCUCGGGCCUGCAGUGGGUACGGGCAGACUAGAGUGCGGUAGGGGAGAUUGGAAUUCCUGGUGUAGCGGUGAAAUGCGCAGAUAUCAGGAGGAACACCGGUGGCGAAGGCGGGUCACUGGGCCGAACGAGCUGAUGCGCGAAAGCGUGGGGAGCAAACAGG